AUGCAGCAACGGCCGCGUGAGGGAUGACGGCCUUCGGGUGGUAAACCUCUUUUAGUAGGGAAGAAGCGAAAGUGACGGUACCUGCAGAAAAAGCACCGGGCUAACUACGUGCCAGCAGCCGCGGUAAUACGUAGGGUGCAAGCGUUGUCCGGAAUUAUUGGGCGUAAAGAGCUCGUAGGCGGUUUGUCGCGUCUGCUGUGAAAUCCCGAGGCUCAACCUCGGGUCUGCAGUGGGUACGGGCAGACUAGAGUGCGGUAGGGGAGAUUGGAAUUCCUGGUGUAGCGGUGGAAUGCGCAGAUAUCAGGAGGAACACCGAUGGCGAAGGCAGAUCUCUGGGCCGUAACUGACGCUGAGGAGCGAAAGCAUGGGGAGCGAACAGGAUUAGAUACCCUGGUAGUCCAUGCCGUAAACGUUGGGAACUAGAUGUGGGGACCAUUCCACGGUCUCCGUGUCGCAGCUAACGCAUUAAGUUCCCCGCCUGGGGAGUACGGCCGCAAGGCUAAAACUCAAAGGAAUUGACGGGGGCCCGCACAAGCGGCGGAGCAUGCGGAUUAAUUCGAUGCAACGCGAAGAACCUUACCAAGGCUUGACAUAUACCGGAAACAUGCAGAGAUGUGUGCCCCGCAAGGUCGGUAUACAGGUGGUGCAUGGUUGUCGUCAGCUCGUGUCGUGAGAUGUUGGGUUAAGUCCCGCAACGAGCGCAACCCUCGUUCUAUGUUGCCAGCACGUAAUGGUGGGAACUCAUAGGAGACUGCCGGGGUCAACUCGGAGGAAGGUGGGGAUGACGUCAAAUCAUCAUGCCCCUUAUGUCUUGGGCUUCACGCAUGCUACAAUGGCCGGUACAAAGGGCUGCGAUACCGUAAGGUGGAGCGAAUCCCAAAAAGCCGGUCUCAGUUCGGAUUGAGGUCUGCAACUCGACCUCAUAAUCGGAGUC
rnacentral:rRNA from 1 species